rnacentral:rRNA from 1 species
AUUGAACGCUGGCGGCAGGCCUAACACAUGCAAGUCGAGCGGAUGAAGAGAGCUUGCUCUCUGAUUUAGCGGCGGACGGGUGAGUAAUGCCUAGGAAUCUGCCUGGUAGUGGGGGAUAACGUUCCGAAAGGAACGCUAAUACCGCAUACGUCCUACGGGAGAAAGUGGGGGAUCUUCGGACCUCACGCUAUCAGAUGAGCCUAGGUACGAUUAGCUAGUUGGUGAGGUAAAGGCUCACCAAGGCGACGAUCGUUAACUGGUCUGAGAGGAUGAUCAGUCACACUGGAACUGAGACACGGUCCAGACUCCUACGGGAGGCAGCAGUUGGGAAUAUUGGACAAUGGGCGAAAGCCUGAUCCAGCCAUGCCGCGUGUGUGAAGAAGGUCUUCGGAUUGUAAAGCACUUUAAGUUGGGAGGAAGGGCAGUAAGUUAAUACCUUGCUGUCUUGACGUUACCGACAGAAUAAGCACCGGCUAACUUCGUGCCAGCCGCCGCGGUAACAC